rnacentral:rRNA from 1 species
GACGAACGCUGGCGGCGUGCCUAAUACAUGCAAGUCGAGCGGACAGAAGGGAGCUUGCUCCCGGAAGUUAGCGGCGGACGGGUGAGUAACACGUGGGCAACCUACCCUGUAGAUCGGGAUAACAUCGAGAAAUCGGUGCUAAUACCGGAUAAUCAUUUGAAGUGCAUGCUUCGAAUGUAAAAGAUGGCCCCGGCUAUCACUACGGGAUGGGCCCGCGGCGCAUUAGCUAGUUGGUAAGGUAAUGGCUUACCAAGGCAACGAUGCGUAGCCGACCUGAGAGGGUGAUCGGCGACACUGGGACUGGAACACGGCCCAGACUCCUACGGGAGGCAGCAGUAGGGAAUCUUCCGCAAUAGACGAAAGUCUGACGGAGCAACGCCGCGUGAGUGAUGAAGGUUUUCGGAUCGUAAAGCUCUGUUGUUAAGGAAGAACAAGUGCCGUUUGAAUAAGGCGGCACCUUGACGGUACCUAACCAGAAAGCCACGGCUAACUACGUGCCAGCCGCCGCCGUAAUAC